GAUGAACGCUAGCGGCAGGCUUAACACAUGCAAGUCGAGGGGUAACAUUGUAGCUUGCUACAGAUGACGACCGGCGCACGGGUGCGUAACGCGUAUACAAUCUACCUCUUACUGAGGGAUAGCCUUUGGAAACGAAGAUUAAUACCUCAUAGUAUUAUAGAAUCGCAUGGUUUUAUAAUUAAAGGUUACGGUAGGAGAUGAGUAUGCGUUCUAUUAGUUGGUUGGUGUGGUAACGGCACACCAGGACCGCGAUAGAUAGGGGCCCUGAGAGGGGGAUCCCCCACACUGGUACUGAGACACGGACCAG
rnacentral:rRNA from 1 species